CGAGUAGAUAGGAUGUGUGGUUACUUAGAAAAAACCAAGAUUAUUUUCAUUUUUAAAACAUUAUAUUUUUAUUCCUUUGAUUAUUUGGGUGCUGUAUUUUUACUACAUUACAUUUUUAUUAUUACCAUUAUUUUUUGGUAAUAAAGUUGUGAUCAAUAAUUUUGUCUCAUUAUCUUACUUCCCAUUCAGUUCCUUGAGGUGGGUCCAGAAGGACAGCAAGCAACGAAUACAAUCUAACAUAAUUAAUGAUAUUAAGUAAAGAAGAAAAUGAGAGAAUAAGCGAAUAAAAAAUAUUUUAUAGACAUCAUGAUUUUUUUUCAGCAAUUGUGAGUGUUUAU